rnacentral:rRNA from 1 species
CCUACGGGAGGCAGCAGUGAGGAAUAGUGGUCAAUGGGCGCGAGCCUGAACCAGCCAAGUCGCGUGAGGGAGGACGGCCCUACGGGUUGUAAACCUCUUUUGCCGGGGAGCAACGGGCGCCACGUGUGGCGUCACUGAGAGUACCCGGAGAAAAAGCAUCGGCUAACUCCGUGACAGCAGCCGCGGUAAUACGGUUGAUGCGAGCGUUAUCCGGAUUUAUUGGGGUUAAAGGGUUCGUAGGCGGGUCGUUAAGUCAGUGGUCACAUUGAGGGGCUCACCCCCUUCCCGCCAUUGAAACUGGCGUUCUUGAGUGGAAGAGAAGUAUGCGGAAUGCGUGGUGUAGCGGUGAAAUGCAUAGAUAUCACGCAGAACCCCGAUUGCGAAGGCAGCAUGCCGGCUUCCGACUGACGCUGAAGCACGAAAGCGUGGGGAUCGAACAGGAUUAGAUACCCGAGUAGUC